AUUUGAAUUACAUAUUUUAUAUCUAAUGGAACAACUCUAGGAACCUUCGGUUCUGGGGGCCUUAAGCAAGUGGCCUAUGGGUAGAGCCACCUGAGAACAAAUUCUCAAACAAUUUGGGGGCCAUUUCCGGAAGAUUUACAGGCUGAUUAGGAGCCAUAAAAUUGACAAUCUUUUCAUGAAUAUUGUACCGGAUUUUACGACUCUUUGAAGCACGACGAUCAACAAUUUUUCGUUUCUUUGUUUGUAGUCUCUUCAAUGCAUAGAAUGCUGUCUCAGAUGAUGCGGGAUCUACAGCCUCAAAGAACUCCCUCAGCAAUUGCUGAUAGAAUUCAGAGUCAUCCAGAAGCUCCGGAUCACCAUCCAUGUUUGUUCCCUCUCCAUUGCCAGUAGCAUCUGGAACAGUUCCAAAUAGUGCAACUGCCGAUCUACUUUGCUGCAUUCCCUUUAUCAUUUUGCUAGGAUCUCUCAUAUAACCAGCUACUUGUUGACUAAUAUCCUGAUUAAAUGCUUGCAAUUUGCCUUUGAUCGCGGCAGCACCAGAGGUCACCUGGGUCUUUCUCUGCCAUUUAUCUAUCGAUUUAUCCCUAAAAGCAGCCAUCCUUGAAUGCAUUUGAGAAAUCUUCUGCCAAUCAUCAUCAACUUCACCUGACUUUACAGAAUCUUCCAAAAGCUUCGACCUUUUACCAGAAUUGACAUCCAUUGAUUUAGUAAUUGAUGGAUUCUUCUCCAGUAGUACCUCUUGCAAUUCCAGUAUGGAAUCCAAGGUUUUUCUGGAAGAGGCAAUGAGAUCUGUAUAUGCAUCUUCAACUGUGUCCUCUGAAUCACAAAAGGAAGACCUAAUUGGUUCCUGUGGAAGUCUAUUGGCGUUCGAGAAAGCCUUUUGCAGCAAGAAUCUUAGCUCAAGUGUCUUGUCCCAGAGAGCCUUCUGGUUUUUAACUGCUUGACCUUUGAGAAGAUCCUCAUCCUUAUGUUGCGUCAGAUUCUUCAAAAGAUCUUGUUCCUUGUGCCUAAGCUCCAUAUAUUCUUUCUCAAGUUCUUCCAUUUCAGCAUUUUUGUGUUCCUCAGUCAGUUUUUCUCGCUCUUCUUCUUCUUGAUCUCCUUCCUCAUCUUCCUCUUCCUCUUGUUCUCCACUUUCAUCUUCAUUGCUGUAAUGAUCGACGUCAUCGUCAUUGUCUGUAUAGUCAUUGUUUUCAUCACUGUCGUCAUCAAAGUUCUCGGCAUCGUCUGACAUCUCAUUUAAUAUUUCAUCAUUCUCAAAUUCAGAGUUGCUUUCACUCUCCUCUACUUUCCUCGAUUUCUUCGAAGACGUGCCCAUUUUCCUGCCUCCUAAAUCAGAU
rnacentral:misc_RNA from 1 species